CUUGUGUUGAUAGAUCCUCAAACUGAUGAAUAUAAUGAGCCACUGUUCCCGUCUGCUUUACUGGAAAGAAAAGUUGACUCGGAUCACGGAGCUUCUCACGACUGAAACGAGCAAUCAGCCUUUCUUUAAAAUCCGUCCAGCUCCUAAAUUCGCUUCUCUGAGCUUCACUGUUGAACCAGCUCAACACAUCCCCUGCCAAUAUCACAG
rnacentral:lncRNA from 1 species